UACAGAGGUGGCGAGCGUUAUUCGGAAUUAUUGGGCGUAAAGGGCGCGUAGGCGGCUUGACAAGUCCCGGGUGAAAUCCCUCGGCUCAACCGAGGAACUGCCUUGGAAACUGUCUGGCUUGAGGCCGGGAGAGGGUAGUGGAAUUCCCAGUGUAGCGGUGAAAUGCGUAGAUACUGGGAGGAACACCGGUGGCGAAGGCGGCUACCUGGACCGGUUCUGACGCUGAGGCACGAAAGCGUGGGGAGCAAACAGG
rnacentral:rRNA from 1 species